rnacentral:lncRNA from 1 species
UUAGCUUAACUUUUGUACGGAUGAUGGGUUUUAACCCUUUGAUUAUGGUAUCGAUGUUAUUCAGGAUAAUGGUGUGUUCUUGAUAAAACCUAAUUUCCAUUAAUUCUUGUCUGAUCAUCUUAAUUGAAUCAUCGUCAUUGAUUUGUGGGUCCAAGAGGACUGUAGAUCAAUAGGAUGCUUAGGAAGAACUCUAGAUUCUUUGUUAGCUCGAGAGUGGAGCCAUUCUUCUAGGCUUUUGUCAUCAUAUAUCGAUGUGGCAUUUCAUCGAACACCCUUAGUGCGUUCUGAUUGGGUAUAGAUUCGCUCGAGAGAGGAGUCUACGGUCGAGCAGAAUAGAUCCUUAGAGGCGCGAGAGUGAUCUAAGAUUAUCGUAGGAAAUCGCCAAGCCAUUAUAACCUGAAUAAUUGAGAUAACAUAUCGUUCAUCAAUGCAUUGCUAUCUUUAGUAGACUCAAAUUCGAACAACCUUCAUUCCCAUAUUUGAAACUCAAUCUCUUGCAUUUGAUUUGUUUUGAUUUUGCAUUCUUAGUUGUUAAUUGGUUACAAAUGCAAUCAAACAAACAAUCAUUCUAUGUUACUUAGUUUAGUUGGCAUAAUUAAAUUGAGUAAUAGCAUUAGAAAGACCCUAGGGAAAUACAAUUCUAUUAGAGCAAUCUAGUGGGUAUUUGGAUAGCGGAGUAAAAUCUGCUCGUCAAAAAUCACGGCUGUGACUCCCCAACAGAAGAAACUCUGAACUUCUUUCGGCCAUAACUUCUUCGUUUGGACUCCGAUUUUGAUCCGGAACGUACCAUCGGUUCGUAGUCGAACCCUCUAUCCAACGGAUAACUACACUCAAGGAAAACACUCCAAGAAACAAGUGAAACGGACCGAGAUGGUUUGUUCGAGAGGAAACGAGCACGAAAUGUAAUUAUGAUCAAAGCGGACGCUACUACAAGCAAAUAUCAUUCAUUCAUAGUUACAUGUUCGAGAUGAUUAUCUCAUUCAUAGAGCAAAGUUGGAGAAAGAUUAUACAUAUUCAAUUGGGAGGCGCUUUUUAAUAUGGUCACAUGUGAGAAACAUGUAACUAUAAUAGUUAGAGUACUUCACAUCUUCAAUUCUCACGACCGUGAUCAGUCCUAUACUCGACACAAAGAAAGCCAACAACACUACUACCCCUAGUCUAUGUAAAAACUUCAGAAAACAAACAGAUCAUUCUGCAAAGUAAACCAAAACAUUAAAUUCAAACAUAGUCACAUAAACGAGCAUGUGCGGAGGGGGGUAGCCGGUCCUUGUAUCGCUAUGGUGGAUAGAUAUGUGAUCCACCAACCUGAUUCCUUUAUAAAGCUGAGCGAGCCACCUCAAACUGACUAGCCUGUACUUCAAAUCUCGGAAGGAAAACUUCUUUCUGUGGAAGUCAUUAUGUAUUUCUUCUUUAUUUUUCUUUUUUAUUUUUUUAUUUGACCCAUAUCCAUUUUUCAAUUUUGUACUAUUGUAUAUUCUUUUAUAUCACCCAUCUCCAAUUUUCAUUUUUAUACUAUUGUAUAUAGAAAAUAUGUAUAUUUUGUGCAUUUUGUUGGUUUGGCCUUGUUUCAAUUUGUGAGUAGUUCGCUUUUCCGGCUUUUGGGAGACCUACUACUCCGAUUGAGAUAACAAUUUAUAAAAUCUUGAUCGACUUACUUUCUUGUUUACUGUAUUUUUAGCCUUUGAAAAAUCGAACUCUCCUAUAGGAUGAUGAUUAUGAACCCUUGACUAGUCCAUUUAAUUGUAAUAAUAAAAGCAUCGGGCCUUGUGCAACACACGCGGUGGUGGAGGAUAAGAUAAAAGAAACAUAAAAAGAUACAACACAAUGAUUAGCCUAGCUAGCUUCCCAUAAUGNNNNNNNNNNNNNNNNNNNNNNNNNNNNNNNNNNNNNNNNNNNNNNNNNNNNNNNNNNNNNNNNNNNNNNNNNNNNNNNNNNNNNNNNNNNNNNNNNNNNNNNNNNNGCAGAUCAGAGGGGGAAAACGUUACAUCAUCAUUUAUAUCUUCAUCUCGUCAUCUCCAACUCCCUCCCACACAUUAUAUUCUAGCGAAUUCACGGAGUCUUCCUCGUGAACAGUAUAUUCACGGAGUUUGAAAUUUAAUGUUAUGUAAAUUUUUAUUAUAUUUUUUAAUUUGUUGACAUUUUUUUUGUAAAGUCUAAUCUAUUUAAACUCUUAUACAAUUCAGCAUAAUUCAGCAUAAUACGUUAAAUUAUCAUAGCCAAUUAUAAACUCGAAUAAAAAAAAGUGAGCAAUUGUCAUCCAAUCGUUGUAAAAUAAAAUUGCAUGGACGUGUCAACUAAGAGAAGUCACGCAUUCCUUCCCAAAACCAGAACAGAUAGAUAUAACGUUAAGGUUUAUAGUAUAAGCUAAAUAAAUCCUGCUAGAAGCCUCUCAUUGCUUACAAAAGUGUAUUUUCCGCGCUAGCUCUGUGGUUAUAAUUAGCUUUACUAAUGGAGUUAUGGAGCUGAAUCUAUUAUAAGCAGCAAGCAUCACUACUAAUCUAUAUAAUAUAUGUGAUGUGUUAAGCAGCAGGGGCGAAAUCGUAAUCUCCACCGUCAUCAUCAUCAUCUCCAUCGUCGCCUUCAAUAUUACGACGGCAUUCAGCAGCAAUUAUAGUGGCGCAAUGAUCAUAGUGGUUGUCACGAUCUCCAUCCGCAUAAUGCUGCAGCAUCAUAACCAACAUUGCAAUGUUCAAGAGAGCAGGCAUAUUGAAGAAGAGAAAGAAGAAGAAACAGAGGAAGAAGCAGAGAUCAACUUCUUCUAAAAUAAAAUGGGUGAAUAAUGUUGCUUUGUUUUGCUUUGAGAUUGCUGAAUGAUUUUGAUUCGUCUACAGUGUUACCUUGGUGGAUUUCUGGGAAAGAAAAGCAGGAGGUGGAUGGGAUUAUAUAGUAAAGGAGAGAAAGUGGGAACACGUGGUGAGCGUGCAUCAAUUGCAUGGGGGUCAGGGUUUUGCCUGAUGCUGGAGAGAGCUGGAGCCGCGUCUGGUCCGUUUUCAUAUAGCCACAUCAGCAACCUUGUCGACAGCUAAGCCUGACACAUCGGACGCAGCCAUGCAUUGCCAAGCCCAGCUGUAAUCGCAAUUGGGUUGGGAAAAAGGCAGAUGGCAUCUUGGGAAACUUUCUUUUUUCUUUUGGGUCUCUGCUGCUUUUGUAAGUUGAUGGUAGGCACUUGGAAAGGGUCAAGAUAGACAGAAAGUAGAACAAGGGUCGUCGUCUUGGAGCCUCUUUUUUGUGUGUGCAACAGGGC